GGCGGCGGGGCCUGAGGGGAGACCGGGGGGGGAAGGGGAGGGAGGAGGAGAAAUAGGGGGAAAAUGGGGAUAAGCGGGGGGAAAUCAUGGAAUCAGUCGGGUUGGAAGUGACCUCCGAGAUCAUCAAGUCUAACCCUGGAUCCAACCCCGCUGUGCUUCCCAGACCGUGGCACUGAUGCCACAUCCACUCUCACCUUCAACACCUCCAGGGACGUUACCCUUGCAGGUGAUCAGCACCUCCUCUAACAAAGCACUGAAGGAGGAUUUAAAAAUUCCUUCAGGUACCCACAUUGGACAAAUUUUUUGCAGAGAGAGAACGUGGCAGCACAGAACUCUUCUCUGGCCCUUCCCUCCCUGGCUCCCAGCCUGCAAAGGGAGUGUCAGAAAUCAAAACCUACCAGCUUGUCAUCCUCCUGAGAGACUCUCUGCAG